AUUGAACGCUGGCGGCAGGCCUAACACAUGCAAGUCGAACGAGCGGCGGACGGGUGAGUAAUGUCUGGGAAACUGCCUGAUGGAGGGGGAUAACUACUGGAAACGGUAGCUAAUACCGCAUACCAUCAGCUGUGCCCAGAUGGGAUUAGCUAGUUGGUGGGGUAAUGGCUCACCUAGUCGACGAUCCCUAGCUGGGCUGAGAGGAUGACCAGCCACACUGGAACUGAGACACGGUCCAGACUCCUACGGGAGGCAGCAGUGGGGAAUAUUGCACAAUGGGCGCAAGCCUGAUGCAGCCAUGCCGCGUGUGUGAAGAAGGCCUUCGGGUUGUAAAGUACUUUCAGCGGGGAGGCGGUACCCGCAGAAGAAGCACCGGCUAACUCCGUGCCAGCAGCCGCGGUAAUAC
rnacentral:rRNA from 1 species